rnacentral:rRNA from 1 species
AGUUGCCAGCGAUCGUCGGGACUCUAGAGAUACUGCCCCGGUUAACGGGAGGAAGUGGGGAUGACGUCAAGUCCUCAUGGCCCUUAUGCCCAGGGCUACACACGUGCUACAAUGGGCGGUACAAAGGGUAGCGAUGCCGCGAGGUGAAGCCAAUCCCAAAAAGCCGUCCACAGUUCGGAUUGGAGUCUGCAACUCGACUCCAUGAAGCCGGAAUCGCUAGUAAUCGUGGAUCAGCAUGCCACGGUGAAUACGUUCCCGGGCCUU